rnacentral:rRNA from 1 species
UACGAAGGGGGCUAGCGUUGUUCGGAAUUACUGGGCGUAAAGGGCGCGUAGGCGGUGUGUCAAGUCAGGCGUGAAAGCCCCGGGCUCAACCUGGGAACCGCGCUUGAGACUGGCACGCUAGAGUUCGGGAGAGGAUGGUGGAAUUCCCAGUGUAGAGGUGAAAUUCGUAGAUAUUGGGAAGAACACCGGUGGCGAAGGCGGCUCACUGGCUCAUUACUGACGCUUAGGCGCGAUAGCGUGGGGAUCAAACAGG